UACGUAGGGUGCAAGCGUUAAUCGGAAUUACUGGGCGUAAAGCGUGCGCAGGCGGCUAUGCAAGACAGAUGUGAAAUCCCCGGGCUCAACCUGGGAACUGCAUUUGUGACUGCAUAGCUAGAGUACGGUAGAGGGGGGAUGGAAUUCCGCGUGUAGCAGUGAAAUGCGUAGAUAUGCGGAGGAACACCGAUGGCGAAGGCAAUCCCCUGGACCUGUACUGACGCUCAUGCA
rnacentral:rRNA from 1 species